rnacentral:misc_RNA from 1 species
AACGCACAUUGCGCCCGCCAGCACUCUGGCGGGCAUGCCUGUCCGAGCGUCAUUUCAACCCUCAGGCCCUCCCCGCGGGGGCCUGGCGUUGGGGAUCAGGGGCCGCCCGGCGGUCCCUGCCCCCUAAAUUCAGUGGCGGUCGCGCCGCAGCCUCCCCUGCGUAGUAGCAACACCUCGCACCGGAGAGCGGCUCGGCCACGCCGUGAAACCCCCCAAUUUAUCAAGGUUGACCUCGGAUCAGGUAGGAAUACCCGCUGAACUUAA